GCAGUGCGGUGAGUCAUGGUGCUUUACAGGCUCAGGAAACACACACCAGGGUACCUGAUGUGGAUAUUUUUGAAGGUGAGGGAGAUCUGAGCUGAAUCACUGAAUGUUUGCCAAUGCAAAUUUGUUAAAUCUGCUGGGAAGUGUUUAGCGUACAUGCUGAAACUCUCAAACUUCCAAAUUUGUGCAGAAGAAAGGCUUGUUUGGACUCAUCGCUAAUCUGCGAGAGGUGCUCGCUUCCCUUGUCCGGCUGGCAGCCUUCCCAGGCAGCGCAUCCAAGUCCUGAGGCAGCAGUCGCAGAUCAUGUCACCUCGGGGAAAGGACCUGUGCUGCGCACAACGUUUACGAUGGCAAGGGAGGAGAUUGGAACGAGGCUUUCAAGGAACCUAAGAGAAAGGAGGUAUCCCCUCACUUGCCGCAGCUGCAGGCACGCUGCCUUCAGGACUUUGGCACAGGACGUGGGACCACUGCAGCUCUGCAAAACCCUGUUGUGGUGAGGCUGCUUUGUCUCCUGAAAUCGUGAGGAUGUGAAUACCUGCAGCUCUAUCUGAUUCUACUUGCUCUGUCAUUCCUAAGCAGCAAAGACUCCUCCACAAGACGUCUCUGCUCCUACUUCUGGGAAUGAGUAAGGUCCGAUCCCCCACUCUGGCACGUCAUCGGUAGUGCCAGCUCAUCGUGAGACGGGGACAACCUGCAGAGGAGCAGCGCCUGGUUCUGCUGGGCUCCGAGAGCGUGGGCAUCCCCUUGUCCUCAGUCGGGAAGAAAGCUGUCACUGCUGCCUUCUCCCUGCUCACUUCACUCCUGAACCUCUUGUGUUGGUGCAAACCAGCAGUACCUUUGAGCAAAACGAGACUAAUGUACAGUGCAAUAAAGAGACCAUUAAUUGCUUGUGCUUGUCCCUAGUGAUUUACCUGAAUUUUACAAAUAAGCGGUAGUGCCAGCAACAACAAAACACCUUUGCCAGAAUUUUCAGUGGCAAAAGCUUUGACAGAAAUGGAAAUUGCACCCAAAAUACCAUUUUUGCAGUUUGUUUCUAUGUUUUUAUUUGAGAAAAAAAUGUGGAAAAGAAUGUUUUCCAGCAACUAAAACCUAAGCUUUUGUGAUAUUAAAUGAAAAAAAAAAAAAUCAAUUUUUGAGUUUUUCAGUGCAACUUCAAAAAUUCUCAAACUUUUUUAAACAUAGAGAGGAAAAUGGCUUGACUUGUUCACAAGAAUUUCUCUGAAACCAAGUUACAUCUCUGUAGAUACUUAAAUGCACUGUGGUCAGAGGCCCUAGCUUCUCGUGGUUUUGUACUCAUGGAAUUCAUCACAAGGCUUUUAUUCACUUUUAGCUUAGAAAGUGUGAUACAACUGUACAUUUGUGCUUGCUCUCAGAUGAGCUGGAACAUUUUAUAACAUUUUCUGGUCUAUUUUCCAGUCCUGUAUCAAGUAAAUAAACUCUUUGAUGUUACCAGCAGAAAGCCUAA